GUUUUUAUUAUUUUUUUCCCCAAGUGAAAUUCUUUGGUGUUUCAUGUCCUGUCAUCAUUGAUGGUUUUCUUUGCCUACCUGUUCACAAAGGUCUGGAUGGCAGGUGGUAGUUCCAGGAUAUGUUUUUAAAUGGAACACUACCUGUGGGCAGCACAUGGCUGCUGAUAGGCUUGAGUAAGUAUUGCUUUUCCUAGCUGAUUCUUUUAGAUGUGCAAAAUGUUCCAACGCAGCAAAGAGGGGAAAAAUAAACAAAGCUUAAUGUGCUAUUUGCUUGUAAUUAUUUUAUUUGCAGUAGGGAGACCUGGACCUUUCUGGCAAGGGAGCAUAUGAAAACAUCAGUCCCAGGGAGGGGACAGUAUCCUACCUCACUACUAUGUACAUGAUGACUGGUCCUUCAAACACCAUGAAAAUAACUGUUUAAAUUGACUGUCACUACACAGUAACAUCAAAGAUUGUUAGGAGCCCUUACUCCUAGGAUUUUAUUUUACUUUAUUAUGGAUUUAUAAUGCUAAGUACUGUCUAACUGCCUUCUGUUGAGUUUAAAUUGUAAAAGCAUCUGGUGUGUUUUAAAGCUGUAACCUGUCACUGGUAUAUUAUAUUCUGGGAGGGGUGUAGAAUGUGUGUGUCAGUCAGUUUGGGUUUCAAAUACAAAACGAAACUUCCCAGAAUUGGAGUAAAAGUGUUUGUAGCUUCAGUUUUCAAUGAAGCUAGUAUUGUAAUUGUCAUAUCUGAUGUCAGAUUAAGUCCUUUCCCCCUUGAAAAGGAAACCUGCUCUUUUGAGAAAUUUGCGUAGAAAUUGAACUUUAGUAAUAACUUUACAGUUAGUGUGGACUUCAGUUACACCCUGUGUUAGAGUACCCUAGUAAAUAUCAACAGUGGAAGAACCUAGGUUUCUCUGAGGAUGGUUCAGCUUUUUUUCUGUUUGAUAUUAUGCACUCAUAAAUUUACACUCAUCUAUUAAAAUUUGCCAUUUUAUUAAACAUUUUUUUCAUGCACAAUAGGUCUAAAUUUCUCAUGAACAGUCCAACCAAGUUUGUUUUUUUAUUUUGCAGAAUAAAAGUUUGGCUAUGUGGGGUGACAUCAUGAAAAUUAAAUAAAGAUACAUUAAUAUAUUUUUGGUUUGUGGGGCUAAACAUAUCUGCUUGACCUUGAAGACUGAUGUGCAGAUGCUGUGCACAUGGUUUAAAAUGCUUGGUGGAAGUUGGUGUUUCAACUUGCAGUGCAUUGUAAGAACAGUUUUUGUUUCACAGGCUUCAUACACCGAAGCUUAAGCAAAUUUCUGAAGUAUUUGAACAGUUUGGCAUGGCAGGUGAAAUACUGUGCUUCCAGUGAGUUUUCAUUUUUCCCUGAAAAGUGUGCACUAACACUGAUCCAUCCGUUUCAGUGUUUGGAAAAAAUACCAGUAAAGAUUGUUGUUCAUAAAUCUACAACAUGUAGAGUAGGACUGAAUGGAUUUGAUCCAUUUAUAAAGCUGUGUGAUUUUUUUUUUUUUUAAUUCGAACAACCAGGAAAAACCAUUUGUAAUACAGGUUUUCACAAUGAACAAAGUGGUAAUAGCUGCUGUCACCAGCAGCUGGGAACACUUUCUGGUGCAGAAAUACUAAGAAUACAUCUAAUGAUUACUCGGUGAAGUAAUUUUCCACAUGCUUUUUCUUUUAGCAUCAUGUUUUGUGUUGUACAAUUAAGCUACAAUUACAUCUACUAUUUUGGAUAACAUUCAUUGGUUAACAAUAAAGAGAUACAGUUAAUUUCUCUGAGGUCCAUUGUUGUUAUUUAAUGCCCCUUUUUUCUGACCGCUUUACUGAGCACAGUGCAAUAGCCUCUCUUUCCAGAGCAGUGUGGAAAUUUUGUUCAGCUUUUUGUUUCACACUCUGGUCAGAAUGAAAUAAAAAAAAGCAAAUUGUACUAGAGAAUGGUAUUUUGCUUAAGAAAUUACCACAUACAGUUAGGAGGAAGCACUGGUGUUUGUCGAUCCAAAACAGGAUGUGAAUCAUCACAGCAAAUUUGCUCUCUUGAGAACAGAGGGUAAUUUGGCCAUACAAGAGCUCUGUGGGUACGUAAGAACUUUCAAUCACUGCCUACUUAUUGCAUAGCCCCAGGUUAAGUGAAAUUUAGUUUAAUGGGUCAAUAUCUUAAUUAUUGUGACAUCUUGAUCUGUUUGUUUUUUGGCUUUUUAUUUUUUUUACUGUACCUUAUGGUAUACAGUGCUGUCAAACGCAUGCAUGGCCAUGUGUUUUAAACAAUGGCAAGUUAAUGGGCUUUUCUUUAAUACACUUGAUAAAGACAGGAACAGUCCCAUGUAAAUAGGUGUACAAGUAACCUGCUAAAAUGUUCUCACAUAAAUUAGAUCUCCUUGCAAGUGCCUUUCCAUUCUCUCUUGAAUUUGUUUGGCCUUGCACAAUUGCCAUGAGGAAUUAAAACUUGGUACUUGUAAACAUGCAUAUUUCUAGUUUGAUACUUCCCUUUUGUUGGAGCCCCUCCUGCUGAAGCCUUAGCUCUGAGGUUUCUCACUUGUGAGAGAGGUUAGAGAGCUUCUGCAUAGGUAUGUGGCUUCCCAGUAGUGUGGUUGAAAGGGGAGACAAGUGCUUUGAAAGAUUAUUUUUUCAAAAAUAUGCUCUUGAGUUGGAGAGAAAAAGAUGCAAAAUAGUGCCACUAUUACAAUAAAACAGAAUGCCUUGUUGUGCAAGAAGAUGUUCUGUCUUCUUGAAGUAGUCCACUCUCUCACAUCAAAACCUACAUUUUCUCUCACUUGUGCCCGUUUGGAAAGCGUUAUAGUGCUUUUGCAUUUUUCUUAAAACAUGUUCUCUAGAGUUCUUCAAAUUACCUACUUUCAGCAAAAAGGAGAAAAAGGAGGUUUGUUCUAAAGGAGGUAUUUCAAACUUCUGAAUAAAAAGUACCACAAAUAUCUUCUCUAAAUUUUUAAUGAAAAUAGAUUAAAAUAAUGCUUUUGAAGAGGAACUUAUAUGCAGGCAUUUUCCAUGUCUGUCUACUUAUGGAUAAUCUAAGAAGUUGUUCUGCCCAAGACCUCAGGGGUUUUUAACAAUGAUGAUGUAUCCAAGUGGGCUGAGGUAGUUGAUCCUGAUGUUUGCAAAUAUACUUAGAGUAAAAAUGGCAACAUGAAAUUGAAAUCUUCCUUACAAAAGAGCAAAGUUCACUUAUUAAUAGAAGUUGUCUCAUACACAUAAUUUAAUUUAUCUGGGCUGGGAGAUAAGAUUUUCCUGGAAAAUGCAGUAUGGAAAGUGUCAAUGUAUCAACAUACAAACAGCGGUCAUUUCUUUGACCCCCUUGGGGCACAUAUUGCUGUUUGUGCUUGUUGGUGGAGGGUACCUGCUUCCCAGUGGGAAUGCUCUGCUGCCUGGGUGGCUGAGGAGAUGCUUCUGGCUGGUGGCCAUGGGCACCUGCCAAGUGCCAUGUCCCACUGCUCCCUUCCCAGGCAGCACAGUCCAGUGCCUUUCCUCCCCACAAAAUUGGUCUGCAGGCAGGGGAGUUCUCCUGGCUGCUCCUUUUCCCAGUUUGGGGACCCAAUCCGCAGCAAGGGGCAACUUAAAGCUGAAGGGCUGGUGUGAUGGUAGCGGGCUCAGAGAGGGGAGAACACCCCAAAUGCAAAUGUGCACUAGAUUCCCUUACUGGCUCAUUAUUUACUUGUGUGGAGGACUCCUUUUCAGCACAGUCCUGUGGCAGGUGUGUGACCAACAAUCUGCUUAGCAAAUUUAGCAGCCAAUUUUCUGGAGCAAGUUGUACUUUUCAUUUCACUGAGCUGAGUCUUGAUCCAUAGGCAUAGGCCAGUUGCCUGAUUUUGUUUUGAUUCAUGGAGUUUGUCACUUGUGUUCGCUUUACUGUCUGAGUUGAUAAACUGCCACUUUGGAGUGCUAUUAAAGAAGCUUUGCUUUGCUUUGCCUUUUUUUUUUUUCCUUCCUUCCACCCAAGAGAUUGCUGCCAUAUCAAUUGUAUGUGUUUUGUUCCAUGUGAAUGAAGUGGAGUCACCAAGCCCAAAAGACUUUCUCACCAAGCUAUGAAAUUUCUUCAGAAGGGACCACAAUACUUGCAGCAGUGCCUCAGGAAGAGACAGAUUAUGUCCACGUAGCUGAUACUUUAGGGACCAGCAAAGGUAGCAGGAGGAAACAGAGCAUUUUGAAUUGCUGGUAUUCCAUGAGGCGAUUAUAUUGGCUUUUGCAAAUAAUAUGUCAAGAGUGUUUCUGUUCACAGCAGUAGGCUUUAGGCAGCAGAAGAAACGAGGGGAGAUGGAAAUGCACAUCAAAGGAGGCGGCCUGGUUGGUGCAAAUGUUCCUAAUGCACGUGUGCAUAAGAGUUAAUGUUUCCUGUGCUAUGGAUAAGUGGAUCAGGUGAAAAGAGAUCAAGCUCAGAGGUUACAAAAGUACGAUCUCUUGCAACCCUUAGGAUAGGAGCAAGGUAAAGAUCUGCAGAAGACCUGGGGUCUGCCAAGGCCUGCUAUUGCACUUCUGUAAAUCUGGACAGUGUACAGUGCUUUAAAUUAGGUGCCUGGUCUGUGAAGAGUUUUUGGAAGGACCAGGAAGUGCUGUUACAACAUUUCAUUAGUGUUUGGUUCUCUCAUGGUCUCUAAAUCUUUCCUUUGUCGUCUUUUUCCAGGAGAAAAUUAGCUCUUUGAAGUAUUUAAGCUGUUGUUCUUUCCAGGAAAACAGGAAAUAAUACUAAUGUGUUAAUCUUUAACUUGUAAUGGGAUGUGCUAGAGUAAUGUGACCCUCCAAAGUGCUUGGGGCAUCCUGUAGGCUUUGUCCACAAGUGAUGUAGUGUGGGAAGCCUGACUUAUAUCCAGCCUGGGUAAAGUGAAAUGACAGUAGAUACUUUCCAAGUUUUAUUGGUUUUCUACACAAUUUCUAAUAGCCUUGAUGAUACCUGAAGAGUGUCAGAUAAUUUUCUAAUGUAAAAAUCCCAGUUUAAUAUGUCUGUAUAUACAUUCCCAGUGUAAGCACCCCGUUGCUCCUUGCCUUUUUGUAUGCUGUCAGGAUGUGCAUACUGUGUAUACGUAACUGCUGGACUGUGCACCCUGCACAAAAGCCUGAAUAAAUGGGUUUUAACAUUCAUCCAAAGAA